rnacentral:rRNA from 1 species
UACGAGGGGUGCAAGCGUUGCUCGGAAUUAUUGGGCGUAAAGGGCAAGUAGGUGGUCUCAUUUGUCUGGGGUGAAAGCCUUGAGCUUAACUCAAGAAGUGCCCCGGAAACGGUGAGACUUGAGUACUGGAGAGGCUAGUGGAAUUCCCGGUGUAGCGGUGAAAUGCGUAGAGAUCGGGAGGAACACCAGAGGCGAAGGCGGCUAGCUGGACAGUCACUGACACUCAACUGCGAAAGCGUGGGGAGCAAACAGG